UACGUAGGGUGCAAGCGUUAAUCGGAAUUACUGGGCGUAAAGCGUGCGUAGACGGUUGCGUAAGUCAGAUGUGAAAGCCCCGGGCUCAACCUGGGAAUUGCAUUUGAGACUGCGUAGCUAGGGUGCGGAAGAGGGAAGCGGAAUUUCCGGUGUAGCGGUGAAAUGCGUAGAUAUCGGGAGGAACACCUGUGGCGAAAGCGGCGCACUGGACCACAACUGACGCUGAGGCGCGAAAGCUAGGGGAGCAAACAGG
rnacentral:rRNA from 1 species